rnacentral:lncRNA from 1 species
UUAUUGAAUGAAGUUUUCGAAUCGACAUAAGUUUUACGAAAGCACUAAUUCACCUCCCCCCCUUUUAGUGUCGAUAUGGUCUUAACAUAUGACACAUUAUAUUAUGAGACUGAAUCAAAAUAAUCUCUCACGAUAAUAUUAAGUCGAUAAGUGUAAAGCAAUUAGAUUGACCCACGUGACCUUCCAUCAUUAUAAGGAGAAAUCGAUUCCCGACAUUAUAAUAUCCCUCACUUUCGAAAAAAAAAAAAUUAUAAGCAUCUAUUUCAAACUUGGAUGACCUAUAUGUAAAUAUAAUAAAUCCAAUAAUUAAAGCAUUAGGCUGCCAAAAAUAAAAAAUAAAAAACUAAAAAUUAUGGUUUUAUCCCACCGCCUCUCAUGCACUCUGUUUCCCAUAUGGGAAACAAAUGUUGCAAUGGAAAGGGGCUGCAGCGGUGGUUGCGAUUGUGACCGUGGCUAUGAUUGUUGCUGCAACUGUGGCAGUGGCAGUAGCGACUAGGAAAAAAGGAAGAUAGAUAUAGAAAACGAACAAAGGAGAGGACAUAGAGGAAAACUAUAAGAAGGAUUCGGGC